rnacentral:tmRNA from 1 species
GGGGCUGUUAUAUGGUUUUCGACGAUUAAAAUAUUUAUAAACUUAUUAAACAAUGUUUAACCUUAGUUAACAAAUAAAGCAAACCUGCUUUGCUUAAGUUUCUGAUAAUUUUCUAGCCUUAAAUGGUCAAUACUUCUAAAAAUCAUUAUAGAAAACAAAAAAUUUUUAUAUGAUUAGAAUUAUAAUUAUAUAUAUAUACUAUUAAUCAUAUAUUGAAAAAAAUAGUUUUAAUUUUUAGUCGGAUGUAGGUUCAAAUCCUACCAGCUCCA